rnacentral:rRNA from 1 species
CACCCGAGUUGGUAACACCUGAAGAUGAGUAUCCUAACCGAAAGGAGGGAGCUUGUUUAGGGUGGGAUUGGCAAGGGGGGCUAAGUCGUAACAAGGUAGCCCUACCGGAAGGUGGGGCUGGAUCACCUCCUUUCUAAGGAG